rnacentral:rRNA from 1 species
GAUCAUGGCUCAGAUUGAACGCUGGCGGCAUGCCUUACACAUGCAAGUCGAACGGCAGCGGGGGAGCUUGCUCCUGCCGGCGAGUGGCGAACGGGUGAGUAAUGCAUCGGAACGUGUCCUGUUGUGGGGGAUAACUGAUCGAAAGAUCAGCUAAUACCGCAUGAGACCUGAGGGUGAAAGCGGGGGAUCGAAAGACCUCGCGCGACAGGAGCGGCCGAUGU